GACAGAGGAUGCAAGCGUUAUCCGGAAUGAUUGGGCGUAAAGCGCGCGUAGGUGGCCCUGUAAGUCCGUUGUGAAAGUCAAAGGCUCAACCUUUGAAAGCCGAUGGAUACUGCAGGACUAGAGUACGGAAGAGGCGAGUGGAAUUCCUGGUGUAGCGGUGAAAUGCGCAGAUAUCAGGAAGAACACCCGUGGCUAAGGCGGCUCUCUAGUACGGUACUGACGCUGAGACGCGAAAGCGUGGGGAGCAAACAGG
rnacentral:rRNA from 1 species